UUUUACAAUGAAGAGUUUGAUCCUGGCUCAGGAUGAACGCUAGCUACAGGCUUAACACAUGCAAGUCGAGGGGCAGCAUGAACUUAGCUUGCUAAGUUUGGUGGCGACCGGCGCACGGGUGAGUAACGCGUAUCCAACCUUCCGUUUACUCGGGGAUAGCCUUUCGAAAGAAAGAUUAAUACCCGAUGGUAUGGUAAGAUUGCAUGGUAAU
rnacentral:rRNA from 1 species